GAUGAACGCUGGCGGCGUGCCUAGCACAUGCAAGUCGAGCGAACAGACGAUGAGCUCGCGCUUUUGACGUUAGCGGCGGACGGGUGAGUAAUACGUGGGUAACCUUCCUCUACGACGUGGAUAACUUCGGGAAGCCGGAGCUACUAACAGAUAAUAUUUCGAACCGCAUGGUUCGAUAGUGAAUGAUGGCUCUGCUGUCACUUAUAGCUGGACCUGCGUCGUAUUAGCUAGUUGGUAAGGUAACGGCUUACCAAGGCGACGAUCCGUAGCCGACCUGAGAGGGUGAUCGGCCACACUGGAACUGAGACACGGUCCAGACUCCUACGGGAGGCAGCAGUAGGGAAUCUUCGGCAAUGGGCGAAAGCCUGACCGAGCAACGCCGCGUGGGUGAAGAAGGUCUUCGGAUCGUAAAGCUCUGUUAUUGGGGAAGAACAGCCGUGUGAGUAACUGUGCACGUUUUGACGGUACCUAAACAGAAAGCACCGGCUAACUACGUG
rnacentral:rRNA from 1 species